GACGAACGCUGGCGGCGCGCUUAACACAUGCAAGUCGAGCGAGAACCGGGGCUUCGGCCCCGGGGACAGCGGCGAACGGGUGAGUAACACGUGGAUAACCUGCCCUCGGCACCGGGAUAGCCCGGGGAAACCCGGAUUAAUACCGGAUGGCCCUUCCGACUUUCGAGUCGGUCGGCAAAGGUAGCUUCGGCCUCCGGCCGAGGAUGGGUCCGCGGCGGAUUAGCUUGUUGGUGGGGUAAUGGCCUACCAAGGCUCCGAUCCGUAGCUGGUCUGAGAGGACGAUCAGCCACACUGGGACUGAGACACGGCCCAGACUCCUACGGGAGGCAGCAGUGGGGAAUCUUGCGCAAUGGGCGAAAGCCUGACGCAGCGACGCCGCGUGAGGGACGACGGCCUUCGGGUUGUAAACC
rnacentral:rRNA from 1 species